rnacentral:rRNA from 1 species
AACGCUAGCUACAGGCUUAACACAUGCAAGUCGAGGGGCAGCACAAGGUAGCAAUACUGAGGUGGCGACCGGCGCACGGGUGCGUAACGCGUAUCCAACUUUCCCGUUACUCUGGGAUAGCCUUCCGAAAGGGAGAUUAAUACCGGAUGGUGUUGAAAUUUCGCAUGUCAUUUCAACUAAAGAUUUAUCGGUAACGGAUAGGGAUGCGUGACAUUAGGUAGAUGGCGGGGUAACGGCCCACCAUGCCUACGAUGUCUAGGGGUUCUGAGAGGAAGGUCCCCCACACUGGAACUGAGACACGGUCCAGACUCCUACGGGAGGCAGCAGUGAGGAAUAUUGGUCAAUGGCCGGAAGGCCGAACCAGCCAAGUAGCGUGAAGGAUGAAGGUUCUAUGGAUUGUAAACUUCUUUUAUAUAGGAAUAAAACCUCCUACGUGUAGGAGCUUGUAUGUACUAUAUGAAUAAGCAUCGGCUAACUCCGUGCCAGCAGCCGCGGUAAUACGGAGGAUGCGAGCGUUAUCCGGAUUUAUUGGGUUUAAAGGGAGCGUAGACGGGAGAUUAAGUCAGUUGUGAAAGGCUGCGGCUCAACCGCAGCACUGCAGUUGAUACUGGUUUCCUUGAGUGCGGUUGAGGUGUGUGGAAUUCGUGGUGUAGCGGUGAAAUGCUUAGAUAUCACGAAGAACUCCGAUUG